rnacentral:misc_RNA from 1 species
UACGGAGGGUGCAAGCGUUAAUCGGAAUUACUGGGCGUAAAGGGUGCGUAGGUUGUUGUAUAAGUUAGUUGUGAAAUACCUGUGCUUAACGCGGGGGGGUCAACUAGUACUGUACGACUUGAGUAAAGCAGAGGGUGGUAGAAUUUCCGGUGUAGCGGUGAAAUGCGUAGAGAUCGGAAGGAAUACCGGUGGCGAAGGCGUCCACCUGGGCUAUUACUGACACUGAGGCACGAAAGCGUGGGUAGCAAACAGG